GAAUCUUCCACAAUGGACGAAAGUCUGAUGGAGCAAUGCCGCGUGCAGGAUGAAGGCCUUCGGGUUGUCAACUGCUUUUGUACGGAACGAAAAGCUUUGGGUUAAUACCCUGGAGUCAUCACGGUACCGCAAGAAUAAGCACCGGCUAACUACGUUCCAGCAGCCGCGGUAAUACGUAGCGUGCACGCGUUAAUCGGAAUUACUGGGCGUAAAGCGUGCGCAGGCGGUUUUGUAAGACAGAGGUGAAAUCCCCGGGCUCAACCUGGGAACUGCCUUUGUGACUGCAAGGCUAGAGUACGGCAGAGGGGGGUGGAAUUCCGCGUGUAGCAGUGAAAUGCGUAGAUAUGCGGAGGAACACCGAUGGCGAAGGCAACCCCCUGGGCCUGUACUGACGCUCAUGCACGAAAGCGUGGGGAGCAAACA
rnacentral:rRNA from 1 species